UAGGGAAUAUUGGACAAUGGGUGAGAGCCUGAUCCAGCCAUGCCGCGUGCAGGAAGAAGGCGUUAUGCGUUGUAAACUGCUUUUUGCCAGGGGAUAAAAUGAGCGUGCGCGCUUAAUUGAAGGUACCUGGUGAAUAAGCCACGGCUAACUACGUGCCAGCAGCCGCGGUAAUACGUAGGUGGCAAGCGUUGUCCGGAUUUAUUGGGUUUAAAGGGUGCGUAGGUGGCCCUGUAAGUCAGUGGUGAAAUAUCUCAGCUUAACUGAGAGGGUGCCAUUGAUACUGCAGGGCUUGAGUACAGAUGAGGUGGGCGGAAUUGACGGUGUAGCGGUGAAAUGCAUAGAUAUCGUCAAGAACACCGAUAGCGAAGGCAGCUUACCAAGCUGUAACUGACACUGAGGCACGAAAGUGUGGGGAUCAAACAGAAUUAGAUACCCUCGUAGUCCCUGAG
rnacentral:rRNA from 1 species